GAGGAAAGCCAGGACGAAGGAAAGGUGAAGGGGUGGGGGGACAAAUAAAAAUUAAAUAGAGGUCAGUAAUAGCCUACAACAGCUUUGGGAAUUAGUGGCUAAUGAAACCUACAAGCUGUAAUAAGCAAUUUCCCUAUUCCCCACAUUUUCCUUCUUCACUGUCACCAGAAAGCAGAGUUGGAAAAAUGUUACAGUGCUACAGCUGUUUAUAGCUAUUUUUGCCUUCUUUGAUAUUGGAUUCUUUGACUGCAAACACAUAAUUAACGGAAGACAAUUCAACUCUCAGCUAGCACAAGGGACGAAAAUAAAGCUUCACUUGCAUGUCUUUAAAAAGUUGUGAUGAGGCUUAUGAUGACAUGACUAAGGGAAUAGUUUGACAUUUUUGAAAAUACACAUACUUGCUUUCUUGUAGAUAGUUAGACAAGAAGAUUGACACCAAUCACAAGACUGUACGCUAAACGUGAAGCUACUGCCAGCAGCUAUCUUAGCUAGCUAUCUUAGAUUAGCAUUAAAUCUAACCAACAAAUAGUUCCAGGAUGUAACUCCCUGUAAAAUAACAUGUUAAUUUUAUGGGCUGUGUUGGUAUUUUAACAGAAACAGGCUAGCUUUUAUGCUAAGCUAUCCUCCCCUGGCUCCAGCAAGAAGUUAGCAUACAGCCAUGAAAGUGGAAUCAUUUCUUAGGGCUACUCUUGUCAAGAAAGCAAAUUAUUUCGCAAAAUGCUCCAUUAAAUAUCCACAGCAUACAUCUUAAAAUCAUAGAGGGGGAGAAUCACAAAUCAGCAACAUAACUGUUGGUACCUAUGUUGUAUUAGAAAUCCAUUGAGUCACACACAAUCAGAUAUAAGUUGACCUUUUUUUUCUGUAAAGCCAAACAGUGACUAAUUUAGCAUCACUAGACCCUGGGAUCAUUUUGUUGAUUUUACUGUUCUCCGACUGGAACAAAUUAGAAUAUUUUGCUCCCCCAUCGUCACCAUUUAGGCUGGUAUUGAUUAGAAGGAGCAAAACAUGAAAAUAGCCCCCAGGGGCCGGUAUUUCAAAAUUUGUAAUCCGGAUCAGGAUAAUCCGGAUAACGAAAUCCUCCUUUUCUCAGUCAUGGAUCAAGGUGAUCCUGCUGACUUUAUCUGAGUAUUUCAAAACAUUGGCAGAGUGGAUCACCGUGACGUCCAUGUGGGCGGAUCUGGAUUUCCAAAUCUUGUCGUGUCUCCGACUCUGGGAUCGAAACAUGGCGGACUACCUGACGAAAGGAGCAGUGAGCACCACUUUCACGUCAAAAGUAGUCACUCACAGCCAUGGACCUCUCAGCUAUUAAGGACAACCGGGUCUCUAUGAGUGAUGGAAAUCCUUGGAAACACUUUAAUUGUAUUGAUCCAUUCAAUGUUAUUGGAUUCUGAAUAAAGUUAUUGAAACUGCUUGAAAUUGUAAUUGCAUUACUUUCAUGCUAUAUAGCUUGGUCAGUGACACAAUAAGAAACAUUUUUCAUCCUAAUUUGUCUCCCUUAUAUAGAAGACUCUCACUAAACAUAAUUAUGGUCAUUUAUAGCAAAAUAUAAUCUGAUUUGAUGAAGUAGAAUAAUCAGUUUGUACUCAAACACCUUCCUGCAUGUUUUAAAAAUCACAUUCAAGCUAUUUCCAGACAUUUUAAAGGUACAUUUUUAAGUUUGACAGAAUUUGUCUUCAAUAAUCAGAAGCAUGAAAAUAUACCUUGAAAGUGCUUCAAUGUGCUGCAUGAUAUAUUUACAGCAAUUUCAGAAAGUGGGGUCAAAUAUUUUACUAUGCUUUAAAUUUCUUUCAAUUAGGCUACUUUAAUUAUUAAAAGUAAAACACUAACACUUGAUUAAGUGAAAUGAACACCUUGACUAAAAAUAUCUAGGAGAAGUGGAGCUGAGACUUUGUCAAUCUAAGUGAAAUCCACCUCUGAGGUGGGAUCAGGAUGAUCCUGAAAUUUUGGUACCAAGUUGAUCCAGAUAUCUGCCUUGAGUUUUGAAAUACCCAAAUCCAGCCUUUUAUCUGGAUUCAAGGGAGGAUUGGAUUACCGGAGCGGAAU